CUCCUUUGUAGAAGUCCGUAACGUGAAAUAAAUAAACGUCCCAAGGUUAAUGCUGUAGAUAUUGUUAUAAGGGGAUGUGAGACUAUCGAAACACGUAACUUUCAGAGUUUUAUUGUUGUUAUUAAUAUAGUUACAGAGUGCUAAAAGUGUUGCUAGCUAGCAUGACUUUCUUUCUGUGAUGCAAACGGCUAGCUGAGCUGCCGACUAGUGAUGGUGUUGCAUUAUGGGGGAUGUAGUUUUUGCCCUCUAAGGCGAUUUUACGUUGUAACUUUUUUGUGUUGCAGUGGUUUUGUACAUGAGUUGUUGUAUUUUGCUACUAUCAACACUGAAAGCACCUAGCAAUGUAUUGGGGAUGUGAGACAGGAUAUGUGUUUUACCUUUCUUCAUGCUCCUGUGUAGAACAACUUGUCAGGUGGUGCAUUGGAGACUGAUGUGUUCCUGUCCUGUCUUUUCAUAAUACUAUUGCAGAUCUGCCAACCAGCCUAACCCACAGCUAGAGUGGGACACUGUCCUUUUUCCUGUGAGGACAAUCUGACAAAUACUGGCACUAUUCACAGAGCAACAGAUGGCAAAUGGAAUGCGGAGUUUGUAUGGAUGAAAGGACACGAAGAGUCUAGGACACAGAGAGACAGACGGACGGACGGGAGGACGGCCGGGUGUGCAGACAGCCAGACAGACUCAGGAUAUCUUCUGCUCAAAGUCUCUCAGACUCAAACAAAGUUAUUUGUCCUGGGGCGGACCUCAGAUAAAAAUGACAAAUUAAUGUAAAGUUUUAACAAACAUGUUUUAACUAGAUUUACAGCACUUUCACUCAGUAAUGGUUUUUCUAUAGACUGGCAUGAACACACCAGUACUACUGUUUCUCUAGCUUUGCUGUUAAGUAGAUUUUCCUCACACUCCUAUGUGUGUGUGUGUGUGUGUGUGUGUGUGUGUGUGUGUGUGUGUGUGUGUGUGUGUGUGUGUGUGUGUG
rnacentral:lncRNA from 1 species